AAUGUACUCCCUCCGUUCCAAAUUACUCGUCGCAGAAAUUGAUGUAUCUAGAACUAAAAUACAUCUAGAUACAUCCAUACCUGCGACAAGUAAUUUAGAACGGAGGGAGUAUCAG
rnacentral:pre_miRNA from 1 species